UACGUAGGGGGCAAGCGUUGUCCGGAUUUAUUGGGCGUAAAGAGCGUGUAGGCGGUCAGGUAGGUCCGUUGUGAAAACUCGAGGCUCAACCUCGAGACGCCGAUGGAAACCAUCUGACUAGAGUCCGGAAGAGGAGAGUGGAAUUCCUGGUGUAGCGGUGAAAUGCGUAGAUAUCUGCAGGAACACCCGUGGCGAAAGCGGCGCGCUGGACCACUACUGACGCUGAGGAACGAAAGCUAGGGGAGCAAACAGG
rnacentral:rRNA from 1 species